GAUCCUGGCUCAGGAUGAACGCUAGCUACAGGCUUAACACAUGCAAGUCGAGGGGCAGCAUGAAAGGAACUUCGGUUCUUUUUGAUGGCGACCGACGCACGGGUGCGUAACGCGUAUCGAACCUGCCUCAUACUCGGGGAUAGCCUUGCGAAAGUAAGAUUAAUACCCGGCGGUCUCGGAUGACCGCAUGACUAUCCGAGUGAAGAUUUAUCGGUAUGAGAUGGCGAUGCGU
rnacentral:rRNA from 1 species